rnacentral:rRNA from 1 species
GUGAUUCGAAGGAGGAAGUACCUCCUUGAAACGAUGGAAUGACUUCGUAUUCUCUGUCCUCAAAAGGAAAGGCCUAGAGUAACCAUGAGAACUACACCUUCUUUUCCGCUCUCGUUUCCUGUGUGCACGAGCUCCAUAACUCCCUCCUAGAUCACGGUUAGACCAUGUCUUCUUCUUGAAGGUCGGGGUGUUCAAGUUCUUGUUCCCGU